GACGAACGCUGGCGGCGUGCUUAACACAUGCAAGUCGAACGGAAAGGCCCCUUUUGGGGUACUCGAGUGGCGAACGGGUGAGUAACACGUGAGUAACCUGCCCUUGACUUCGGGAUAACUUCAGGAAACUGGGGCUAAUACCGGAUAGGAAUCCUUGCUGCAUGGUGGGGGUUGGAAAGCUUCGGCGGUUUUGGAUGGACUCGCGGCUUAUCAGCUUGUUGGUGGGGUAGUGGCUUACCAAGGCUUUGACGGGUAGCCGGCCUGAGAGGGCGACCGGCCACAGUGGGACUGAGAUACGGCCCAGACUCCUACGGGAGGCAGCAGUGGGGAAUAGUGCACAAUGGGCGGAAGCCUGAUGCAGCAACGCCGCGUGCGGGAUGACGGCCUUCGGGUUGUAAACCGCUUUCAGCAGGGGCGAAGCUUGUGGUGACGGUACCUGCAGAAGAAGCACCGGCUAACUACGUG
rnacentral:rRNA from 1 species